CCAUCAUGAAUGACACAGUAACUAUCCGGACCAGGAAGUUCAUGACUAACCGACUACUUCAGAGGAAACAAAUGGUCAUUGAUGUCCUUCACCCUGGGAAGGCAACAGUACCAAAGACAGAAAUUAGAGAAAAACUAGCCAAAAUGUUUGGCUAGAAAAACUAGCCAAAAUCAGACCACACCUGAUGUCAUCUUUGUAUUUGGAUUCAGAACUCACUUUGGUGGUGGGAAGACAACAGGUCUUGGCAAGAUUUACGAUUCUUUGGAUUAUGCAAAGAAAAAUGAACCCAAACAUAGACUUGCAAGGCAUGGCCUGUAUGACAAGAAAAAGACAUCAAGAAAGCAGCAAAAGGAACACAAGAACAGAAUGAAGAAAGUCAGGGGGCCUGCAAAGGCUAAUAUUGGUGCUAGCAAAGGGCGGCGCCUUUCUUCCCCCCUGCCCACCCCUGCUUCUUGUUCUGUGUCCAGUAAGAGAUCACAAUCCCCAAAGUCAUCAAGGAUAAGAUGUCCAAAGUCAUACCCUCCCCCUUCUGCUUUCAACAAAUGUAUUAGGUACGAGAAUUACCUGGCAAAAAGGACACAACUGCCCCCCCAGGUCCCCUAG